AUUGAACGCUGGCGGAAUGCUUUACACAUGCAAGUCGAACGGCAGCACGGGGGCAACCCUGGUGGCGAGUGGCGAACGGGUGAGUAAUACAUCGGAACGUGCCCGGUCGUGGGGGAUAACGUAGCGAAAGUUACGCUAAUACCGCAUACGAUCUGAGGAUGAAAGCGGGGGACCUUCGGGCCUCGCGCGAUCGGAGCGGCCGAUGUCAGGUUAGGUAGUUGGUGGGGUAAAGGCCUACCAAGCCGACGAUCUGUAGCUGGUCUGAGAGGACGACCAGCCACACGGGGACUGAGACACGGCCCAGACUCCUACGGGAGGCAGCAGUGGGGAAUUUUGGACAAUGGGGGCAAGCCUGAUCCAGCCAUUCCGCGUGCAGGACGAAGGCCUUCGGGUUGUAAACUGCUUUUGUAUGGAACGAAAAGGCUCUGGCUAAUACCUGGGGCUCAUGACGGUACCGUAAGAAUAAGCACCGGCUAACUACGUG
rnacentral:rRNA from 1 species